rnacentral:rRNA from 1 species
AUUGAACGCUGGCGGCAUGCUUUACACAUGCAAGUCGAACGGCAGCACGGACUUCGGUCUGGUGGCGAGUGGCGAACGGGUGAGUAAUACAUCGGAACGUGCCCAGUUGUGGGGGAUAACUACUCGAAAGAGUAGCUAAUACCGCAUGAGAACUGAGGUUGAAAGCAGGGGAUCGUAAGACCUUGCGCAACUGGAGCGGCCGAUGGCAGAUUAGGUAGUUGGUGGGAUAAAAGCUUACCAAGCCGACGAUCUGUAGCUGGUCUGAGAGGACGACCAGCCACACUGGGACCGAGCCACGGCCCAGAAUCCUACGGGAGGCAGCAGUGGGGAAUUUUGGACAAUGGCGAAAGCCUGAACCAGCAAUGCCGCGUGCAGGAUGAAGGCCUUCGGGUUGUAAACUGCUUUUGUACGGAACGAAAAGCUUCGGGCUAAUACCCUGGAGUCAUGACGGUACCGUAAGAAUAAGCACCGGCUAACUACGUGCCAGCCGCCGCCGUAA